rnacentral:lncRNA from 1 species
GGGUAACAAAGAAAACAUGGAAGGAAUUCUGGAAGAGUUCUUUUCCAUCUCCGAUUCAAAGCCUCAAAAUUACUUAGAAAUCUAAGUAAAAAUCAAACUAAAACUCUUCCUUUGUGAUCUAUUUAAAGGUUCUUAAAUCUUUUGAUUUCUUCUCAUCAAAAAAUUAUCAAAAAUCACCGAUUAAAUUACUGUUUCUCUCCCUUUUCCCAUCCUAUUUAACCGGUAGGAUAAUCUCACUUUGGCUAUCGAAAAUCAUAGCAAAUCUCCUUCAAAUAAGGUAAAUCUCUUCCAUCACAUGCCUUCAAUCUUUCAAGGAUUUUAAUCUUGAAUUUUUACUAAAUUUUCUAUCGAAAAUCUUUUGAAAGUUACUGUUUUUCGUAUCCCCUAUUUCUCUCCACUUUAUUUUGGUUUUUCCUGCGGUCGGUUGUCAUCGCCGAAUCUAGCUCGUUGGAAUAGGGGGAGAGAAGCCGUUUCAGCCAGUAACAAGGGGAGCAAGAACUCCCCUGUUCUGCGAAAGAAAAAGGAACAAAAGGAGGACGCGCGGGCCCUCUGUUCCGUGUGAAAAAAAAAAGGAGAAAAAAAAGAAGAAAAAGAAAAAGAAAAAAAAAAAAGAAAAAAAAAAAAGAAAGAAA